UACGUAGGGGGCGAGCGUUAUCCGGAUUCACUGGGUGUAAAGGGAGCGUAGACGGCCAUGCAAGCCAGGGGUGAAAGCCCGGGGCCCAACCCCGGGACUGCCCUUGGAACUAUCAAGCUAGAGUACAGGAGAGGAAAGCGGAAUUCCUAGUGUAGCGGUGAAAUGCGUAGAUAUUAGGAAGAACACCAGUGGCGAAGGCGGCUUUCUGGACUGAAACUGACGCUGAGGCACGAAAGCGUGGGGAGCGAACAGG
rnacentral:rRNA from 1 species